rnacentral:lncRNA from 1 species
AAGGACCCACCCAGAUUGUGGGCUAAGCCUCCCCUCUCAUGACCCUCAACUGAAAUCACGACUUUUGCCAUGGAAUGCAGAGAUGAGAUCCUGGGGCAGCGGCGAGUUGAAAGGAAAAGGGAAGCAGAAGAAGACAAGGUGUUCUGCCAGAGAUUCCCUGCGUAAUCCACAGAGAGACAGACGGACACAGUAGAAUUCAAAUCCAACCAUACUGCAGAGAGACCCCACAGCAACUAACAUUUAAAACACAAAUGAACCCAGAGGGCAGAAGGAGAAAUGCUAAUAAAUGAAUCUGUGAAAGACAUUUAAAACUUUUAUAUGAUGCGGAUGAAGAUGAUGGCAAUGAGCAGCCGCAGACAGACACUGCAAGACUGAACAAAUACUUCACAUACUCCAAAUAAGAAUGGUGUUGGGUAGGGUGGUGCACACCUUUGAUCCCAGCACUUGGAGGAGGUAGAGGCGGGUGGACCUCCAAGUUCCAGGUUAGCCAGCACUACACCUUGAGAACCAGUUUCACAAAACAACGACGACAGGCCAAACAAACCCAAAGUAGGAACGGUCAAAAUUACUUGGAGAAAACGUUCACCUUCAUAGUGCUUAGAAAGAUGAAACCAUGA